UUCCCUUUGGUGACUGUUAGUCCACUCUUGGGUUCUGUGAGUCUGCUGCUGUUUUGUUCCUUCAGUUUCUGCUUUGUUCUUUUACUCCACAGAUGAGUGAAAUCAUCUGAUGCUUGUCUUUCUCCAUCCUGCUCAUUUCACUGAGCAUAAUACCCUCUAGCUCCAUCUGUGUUGUUGCAAACAAACACCAAACUGCCGAGAAAACUGGAACGAAGAAGAGAAGAUGUGAUACAGGAACAUCGAGCCUAAACUGAGAAGUGAGAUGGUGGAGACUGGGAGUAUCUUUCCAUGUGCUGCUUUCAAGGUUCACAGGGAAAAAAGGUUACCACGGAGCAGCCGGAUGUGGAUCCCUGGGUUCCGCAAGUGGCAGGAAUCUCCAGUCUCUCCAAGUACUCCGCCUGUCUUUGCUUUCCAACCCCACCGAUCCUCCAGAGCAUCACGUAAGAGCACCGACCCGCCAAGGAAACUGGAACGAAGAGGAGAAGAUGUGAUACGGGAACCUCGAGCCUAAACUGAGAGCAGCCGGAUGUGGAUCCCUGUGUUCCGCAAGUGGCAGGAAUCUCCAGUCUCUCCAAGUACUCCGCCUGUCUUUGCUUUCCAACCCCACCGAUCCUCCAGAGCAUCACGUAAGAGCACCGACCCGCCAAGGAAACUGGAACGAAGAGGAGAAGAUGUGAUACGGGAACCUCGAGCCUAAACUGAGAGCAGCCGGAUGUGGAUCCCUGUGUUCCGCAAGUGGCAGGAAUCUCCAGUCUCUCCAAGUACUCCGCCUGUCUUUGCUUUCCAACCCCACCGAUCCUCCAGAGCAUCACGUAAGGUAGGUUCGUGCUCCCAGAGCAGAUCUCCAGGGCUGGGUGUUCAGCAGUCCUAGGCCUCCACCCGCCUCCCCGUUUCCGUUUCUCUUCCUCCCUCCGGGGAGCUCGGGUGCGGGAAGGGCCUGCCGGGUCCCUCUGGAUCACGGCUUUGGUACGUCACCCUUCACCUUGAGGUGACGGCCUGCCGCGGCAGCCUCCUCUCCUGCUUCUCUUCCAGGAUCUGGUGUAGUUAUAUUUCCGC